GAGAUACAUAAGAGGAAGAAGUCAGAGCAACAUCGAAGUCAACUUUGUAAUAGGGAAUAUAGAUCAUAAGACAUCUAUAAUCGAAAGUUUCAGCAAGAAACAUAAUGCAGAAGGGCUUCACUUUUCAUCUCCGUAUUAAAUCAAAUCAAACUUGUUUUGAUUGCCAGCGAACUAAAUAUAUUUCAGGUUCAAAUUAUAGGAGUCGCAAUACCAAACUAAGGUUUUUUAGUUGUAAAACUUAGACAUCCAAAUGCAACCAAAAACCCAUAUAAGCUAAACCCAAUGCAUCAGUUUAGCGCUGCAUUCUUGCUCGGCUAUCGGACAGUAUUAGACAAAAUAGUGGGAUCCAAAUUACAAUUUUAAGGAGGUCCAGCAUCAAAAGGGAAGAACACCAGCAACUUCCUAAAAAUAUAUCAUGUAUCCUGGUUCUUUAUAUUUCAUGUAGAUUUCAACAGAAUAAUUAGUGAGGAAGCAUUGUGUCUGACAAGGUAGAGUGUAAUUUGGAAUAUGGAUUUAGCUUUCACAAUCAGCACGGUAAAACCUGGACAAUUAGUUUUGCAACUUAGAAUUGACCCUGAAAGGAGUGAAUUUAUAAAUUUGUUUACUACAAGGCAUUGGCUAUUACACUAGUGACAGUGAAAUAAACUGAAUAGAUAUUGCUCAUUUAAAUUUCGAGAAAAUUCACAACAUACAGACUAGAGUCCUGUUCUCUUAGAUUCCCGUGUUUUCUUAGAUAUAUCAGACCAUAUAUCCAGGAUAUGCACAUUUGAGGAAAUAAUUUUCUCUUAUAUAUCUUCUUUAAAAUGCGAAGAAACAAGACCACCCAGUUAAAACUAACAGUCCUGCUUUGUAAGACCAAGCUUCAGGUAAAUGCUUUUUAAAAAAAAAACAAUUAUGAAACGAUUGACACUCAGAUAUUUUAAUCGUAAUCAAGGAAAAUGAUAUACAGUUCUCCAUUCACAUAUUUCCUCAUACGGGCGAGUAGCAAGUUAAAGUAAAUUGUAAUCAUCCACUCAUUCUCCAACAGAGAGGAGAGUAGUAGUCUAAAUAAGUACAGAAAGCCAUUCCACUGGAGAGUAACCCAGCAGAUGAUAAGGAGACCAAAUAAUAUUUUGGGGCAGAUCUUAGAGAAGACUAUAUCUUGUUACUAUUUUCUUUUGAUACGAAAUCUUGGUACUGUACUUUUAAACUUUUAAACCAACAUUAAACAAGCAGAGAACUUUCAUCGUCCUCGGACGUUUAGAAAAAAGAGUUAACCAUUUAAAAAGAAAUCAUAAUAAUUAGGAAAAGAAUAAAAGUAAAUUGUUGAAUACUUCACAAAAAUAAACAAUGAAUAACAAGAUAAAGUUGCUGAAUUCUUUGAUAUCCAUGCAGAGUGCACAAAACCUGUAGACUUGUGUUGAAUUAAGAAAGAGGAAUUGCAAGAUUAACAACAAAUCAAAUUCCCCUGAAAUUCUUCCAUUCAUCGAACCCUUUACUAAUUAAUUCAAAAGAAGUCACAAAAAAUAUAAGAACUUAAUAUAACUUCCAAAAUGCCUCCACAAACAAGAAUGAAAAAGAAAGGUUACGACGAUCUCUAGCUUAGUUUGUUAGCUCCAUCAAUAAUAUAUCUUAUAAGAUGUUUAAAAGCUUCUGAGAUAUUACAGAAUGUGUGGUAAAAGAAUUAUAAGAAAUCGACUUAUAAUCUCCAGAUGUUAGGAGAAUCUUAUAAGUUCCUUCAAAUAACAAGUAAGGGAUUCCUACUUUAUGUCUGGAGAUCUAAUAGAACUCCUUUACUCUGACCAUAAAAAAAAAUGAUCGUUAUUGACAUCUUACAAGUUCCAUGGUCUUGUUUCAUCCAAACAUUCCAAUAACUUAUUUCCAAACUAAAAUUAACAUCUUAUAUGCUCCAAAAAGAUCUCACAGCGAGCGUUUAAGAGAAUAACUGGAAGGAGUGCAAGAAGAUACCUCAUCAGAAGGAUCUGAAAGUGCCUUUAAGAGUGUUUCAAAAAUGUCACUCAGAAAUGAUAGAACCUGGCCAAAUAAGAAAAUGAAGAAAAAAGUUCAUGACAGCCCAAAUAUAAUUGACGCAAAACAUUCAAUAAUUAGUAGGACUAUGAGGCCACCAUGCAUGGAAACAUAUGCAAGUUGCAGACCAUGUCAACAAUUUCAUUGGAAUAAAGAAGUUUUCCUAAUGGAAUAUAAUUUAUGGAAAAUGAAAUGACUACCUCUGCCCGACGUUUACUUAAUAGUGUUGAUAUCCAGUUCAGUGCUUCGAUACGUGUAGCCUCCCAUUCACUGGAUAGAUGUCUGAUAUAUACAUAUGAAAAAAUUAGACUUUCCCGCUAUUCCACUAAUCUACUAUUAUACGUUGUGAUUAGCAGUACACUUAAAGAAAAGAAAAAACAAAUCAUAACACCAAAUGUCUUGAUCUCGUUCUAUAAGGCUCUCCUCAAAAGCAAUCAAUACAAGCGUAACUACAUAAGGACAUAAGGCAGUUACCUCCUAGCUACAGAAAGGAUCGCUCCUACAUCAAAUUCUUCAGCUGGAUCAGCUUGGAUUCCCCGAAGCUCUUCAUUUGUUUCACGUGCAACCUGAAGUAAAUAGAAUUUUAUAGCAUUUGAAACAUCAAUCUAAAAAGAGGAGGUAAAGUAACGCAUGCAACUGAUACAUUGCAAGCUUUGUGACAAGUAAAAUGGAAACUUACAACUCUAAUUUUCUCUUCCUUGUCUGAUAUGCAAGGUAGGAUUGCAACAAGAAUAUCGGCAUAAUGAGGAACAAGUUGGUCCCCGCCAAGUUUUACAAACUCGUUAAUCUGCAGUGUAGAGUAUAUGAAACUCAUCCAGACAACUGAAAACUCCAAACAACUCAGCAUAAUAUUUUACAUUACUCAUCAAUUGGAAAAGUACUUGACACACUGGAGUUAUAUGCAUGUAUAUGCUUACCCAGGUAAUAGCAGUCAGUCGAGUAAAUUCAUCAGGUGAAGCUGCUCUUUGUACCAGUAUCUCAGCCAUGCGACCAUAAUCUACAGACUUCAAGGGUAAGACUGCUCAAGUCAGCAUGAACAAUAAAAUUUUGUUCACUCAGAAGGACACAAGGUCCCAAAUAGCCAUACAUGGACAUGGACAUGGUAAAAUUCUUCAAGUCACAAGACAAAAAUGGCAAUCUUCUAGUUCUGUCUUUAGUUAGUAGUUCAACUAUUAUCCAGAUUAUCGUUCUUCUCUUAGUUUCAGAGUCUUUGUUUAGUUAGAAACAAGUAAUUCAUUAUAUGUUUGUCUUCUUUGGUGGGGUAGGCAGUUGCCAUCUCUACAUUCAAGUACUUUUUUCCUAUUGUUUCUGUUUCUUUGUCUUUAGAUUUUGUACUGGCAUGUGCAUAAAUACAGAAGCAACUACCAUAUCCUCUACCUUUAGAUUUUUUUCUGGUUCUGUCUUUAGAUUUUUUACUGCCAUCUCUACCUUAUCCUCUUUUUACACCUUAAAUAGAGAGACUUCAUCAAUCUUGUGAUAGUGAUCUUAGAAAGCCUUUUGAGAUUAUAAAGGUUUCUUUCUGUUUCUAAGGAGGUUUUGUGGGAUUUAUGAAACCUUUGAUUUUUUUUCUAAGGAGCCUUUGGAAAACAAUCUACGGAAAUUAUUUAGACGUGCGCAAUUAAUUAUGGGAUUCAGCACAAUGUACUCAAUUCUAUACCACUUACACCUCCACGAAGAAAUCGCGGCAUUGAUUGAAUACAAAAAAUUCAGUCAAAUAUCAAGUGCAUGCUGAAUGAAUACCAAAGCCAAACUCAGUAAAAUACACCUAAAAAAAGGGUUGGCCGCAUUAAGGAUAACAGAGAAAAGCACACAUAUUUCAUGGUUUGAGGAAAAAAAUUUGAGCAUCCCAAUUGGGAAACAAAUAUUCCUCUAAAAAUACACAUCACUAUAAAGCAUAAACAAAAGAAAAGAAACCAACUAUGCAGCAUCACAUAUUCGUCAGUAGAAAAUAUGCACGCAGGAGUCUAGAAUAAGUCUUACUGGAGAGUUCUUGAUUUCUUGAAGAAACUCAGAAAGCGCCGAAUCAGCUUGCUGCCUUAUUUCAUGGCUAGAAUCACUUAGCAUGUUAAAUAAGCCUGUGAUUUCAUCAAUAAUAUGUGAAAUCUAUGAGCAAAAGCACCACUAGAGCAAAUGAAACCUCAGGUUAGGAAUCAAAAUAUACCCACCAUCAAGAAAAUCAGGAAGAAACCCAAGCAUAUCAAUAUCAGGAACACUAUCCAGAACAGUAAUCCAUCCGACCAAAAACUGGCGGACAUAAGGGUUCAGACAUUCACUCGCAAAGUCCUUUUGGCUUCGNNNNNNNNNNNNNNNNNNNNNNNNNNNNNNNNNNNNNNNNNNNNNNNNNNNNNNNNNNNNNNNNNNNNNNNNNNNNNNNNNNNNNNNNNNNNNNNNNNNNCUUCAAUGCUGCAACAGUUAAAAGGCCAGCAAUAGCAAGUUGUGUAAAAUAGAUAAAAAUUUGGAUUCAAUUUGAAAACUAAUUGCAGAGAACUGAUACUAGGAGAGAAGAAGAGAUGACAGACCUAAAUUGAUCACUUUCAGUGACAAUGUCCUGCAUUCAAAAAAAUAGCAAAAAGAAAGAAGUUAUUCCUAGCACUAUAUGUUAGAGUGCAUAGAUAUACCCUUAUGGUUUCGCAGAUAAAAGAAAUCGUACCUUCACAAGUCUAUCCAAAAGAUGAGCAGCACUCUGUACAUUGGAAUCUGAAUCUGCUGAAAGCUUACAUAGCGCAUCAAAUAUCUGGUUGAAGAACACUAUAAAAUCGCCUCUCACGACCUGAAAAUAACCAGGAAUGAAACCCAACCACAAAGAGGGAAAAGGAGUAUAACACAAGUCUUGUUCCCCACCUUCGCAAUGUUAUACAAUGCUUCACAGGCAUAAUAACGAACUCUGCUAUCUUGAUCACCAAAGGAAUUCAACACUGGUGGAACUAUUUGCUGGAACCCCCAGACAAGGGAAAAUGCAUCAAUAAGAAAAUACGAACUUGACAGAAAUAUACCAAGAAAAUGCACCAAUAAUAUAUUGGAAAGCAGAUAUAUAGAAGCAAUAUACCAUAAACAAUCUCAUGAACAUGCAUCUCAUUUUUUUUUCAGAGGAAUAUAUAUAAUCAGUAUUAAGUAUUAACAAUUAAAAAUUAGUUCACAGAACAGAAAAUACAUGAGAUAAAACUUCUUCAUGGUACUGUUUUGAGGAUGCAAAGCGAUUUCUGCUAUUCUCAGACCAAGAGUCAUCAGAUGUAGUAUCAUAUUAGUCAACAAGCAAACAAUUUUCUUUCUACAAGGUCUCUAUAUGCAGGUUUAACACUAUCUCGUACCAUGUUGUCGUGAUAUCAGUGUAACCCAUUAAAGAUAGUAUCUGGAGUGACAAAUGCACACUUUAAUCACCUUGAUCCUCUAACACAUGAUCCUCAAAUAUGCACAAGACAUCAACGUUUAUUUUCCUUGUAGUAAACAUCUUAUAAACGCAUAAUACAAAUCUCAUAAUCAUUGAUCCAUUCCCUAAAAAAAAUCAUAGUUCAACUACCCAACUGAUUUUUAAACACUACUUGCAAGUUGCAACACUAGUGCAGAUAAAGUCAGCUCCAAGUAUGUCGGUCAGCAGAUAACUUCUGCUUUAAUACUGUUAUUUCGGUAGCCUGAAGUCCUUUAAGCUUUUAUGCAUUGCAUCUUACGUUCAUAGUAACCAGUUAACAAUUGUCAUCAACCCCCACCCCCCUUCCUCCCCCAUUUUAUGCAUACCUUCUUGUAUUCGAAGCAAAAGAAAACAAAAACUUUCACACCUCAUGAUAUACAAAACAAAUACUCUUAAACAGGGAAAAUUCAAGGUGAUUUUAAUGAAGACAUCAUCACAAGUAUCUCUCCAAAUAAAACCAAGGCAGCAUUCUUACAUCAAGAUGCUGUGAUGCUUCUGAGGUCAAACCCACUGUAGCUGCCGCCAAUCCUAUCAAACCCCCCUGAACCAUAACGAGACAAAAUAAGACAAAAUAUAUUUUUCCCCAAUAUAACACUCCAAUUCGGAUUAUUAACAUUCGGAUACUCGAGCAGAUGAACAUAGAAAAUAAAGCAACAAAACCUCCUUCCAUAAACAACAAAGGAAUUUAAAGGGGAAAAAAAAACAUACUUUACGAUGAUUCGCUUGGGGCGAGUACGUAUAUUCAUUUAUCAACAAAUUGAUCACUGCAUUGAUUUUAUCUUGGUCUGUGGUCCCUGAUAAUUGCUUCACUAUCCCUUCCACCUAGAUCCAGCAGAACCCCCACACAGUAAGAACAAUAAUUAUAACGAUAAACACAGCCCAGGAAAACCAAGCCCAAACAGUCGGGAAAUCACAAUAAUAAUACAAAUUCAAACACCAAAUAUAUUCAAUUUAAAAAAUAAAAAAAAUAUAUAUAUACUGUAAAUUUGCCUAUGCAAUAUGCGCACACCUCCAGGGCAGCAUUUUUGCGCUUCUCGUAUAGCUUAUCGGAGAGAUUGCGGAGAACCGCCGCAGGAAUCACAGAUAGUGCAUCCGCCAUAGAAGAAGAAGCAAAAAAAAAAAAAAACGCUCGAGGAAAAAUAAAAAAAAAAUUGAAAAAUUAUAGUCUAUUUUUUCAUCACGAUUAGAGAUGUGUGUGUACAACACUCGCUCGCUCGUAUGUAUACGUAUAUACUAAUAUAUAUGUAAUUGAUCAAGAUUUCGAGAGUGAAAGCAGAUCUAGUGAGAGAGUAGGCAAAAUUAGGAAAGAGAAUCUGCGAGGAUGAAGAACGCUGAUAAAGUUGAAAAUUUUCGGAGAGGAAAUUUAUUUUUUGCACUAUUUUCAGCUUUUUAUUAAUUUUUUUAUUUUUAAUUUAGGGCUUUUUUUUUUUCCUUAAUACAAACUAUUUUUUAGAGCGUAACGGUGAAAUUGACGAAGAAGGGGGUUUCUGUAUUCCGGGUUUGGAUACCUAACCCGGAUUUGUCUGGAUAUCAGCUACUUGACUUAAAUACCCUUCCCUUGUAACUCUACUUUCUUUUUCUCUCUUUUUUUCAAAAAUGAAAAUCCUUAUUAUUCUUCAUGAGAUUAUCAACAUUUUCUUAGCAAUUGUUGUAUGUUUGAUCCAUCUACAUUUAUUUUGCAUUGGAUUGAAGCAUAUGUAAGGGUGAAAAUUGGAAAAGAUUUUUUGAAUUCUACUCAUUCUGAUUCGAAAAUCUCCGAUUUUGGAACAAUAUUUUUCAUUGUAAAUUUAAAUAUAUAAAUUGAUAUAAAUUUAUCCAAAAAUUUUGGAUCUAUAACUGAAAUAUAUAUAUAUAUAUAUAUAUAUAUAUAUAUAUAUAUAUAUAUAUAUAUAUAUAUAUAUAUAUAUAUAUAUAUAUAUAUGAGAAUCAACUUUAUUACGUAUUAUAGAUGAAAAGAAUCCGUCCAAUUUAUGUUGGUUUCCAAUCCCAAAAAAUUAGUUUUCCAGUUACAAAGUUGAUUUUUUCUUUCAAAGUGCUAAGUUCCGCUAUUAAAGGAGAAACCCGCAAUUAAAUGUUACCACUACUACUACUUCAUAAAAUUAGUAACACUCUUUUUCCUUACGAUUAAUUUUGUACGGGGUAAUUAGAAAUUACAAUUUUAUCCUUAAAGUAAUAACUUAAUUUUGUUAAAUAAAAAAUUCUACAAACAAUUGGCAUAUGAUAACAAGAACAUAAUCUAACAAAUUUAAUACAAGAUGUAAUCCAAGUCAGUAAAACGUGUUAUUAAUUAAAUACUUAUUUAAUCAAUAAGGAUUUAAUCCAAUCUGAUCUAAUCUAAUAUAGGUAAGUGAACGAGGUCUUAAUUAAUUGCUCAAUCUAUGUGUUCGUGUAAAUUUAGUAAGAGAUCAAAUUAGAAAGAAUUGUUUCAAUAACGAACCUUGUAUGGUGUUAAGAGGUUCCGUAGGUGAAAAGCCGUUUACUUUUCUUUCGAUAAUCAUAAGAUUUUACCCAAAAACCGAUUUGAUCAGUGAUUAUAAUCGUCUCAUAUAUAUCUAUAUAAACUAGUAGUUGCCCGAAAAAAAAAACAUGUGGAUAAUACACCCACUUUUGCAAUCGUAAAAGUUAUCCAACCCACGAAACUCAUGUAGAUGAUUAUUUUAAAAAAAAAAUUUAACGAAAGUAGAAAAGUUAAAUCAGAUCGAUGAUCAACCAACUCAACCCAAUUAAAUACAAAAUCAUGAACUACUUUACCAAUAUUGGCUAGUCAUCAAAAGAUGCAGUUGAGGGGUCAAUUAGCAAUUUUUGCAAAGUUAGCAGGUACAAAUAUAGUUGGCGUUAGCUGGCCGAGAGAGUGCAUUUCGAAAGCCCUGAAAGUUGGGUGGAUAAGGUAGGUGGGUAUUUCAUGUGUGUGUAACCGUCGGUCAAUAUUUUAAUAAGAAAAUAAUAAAUAAAAAGAUUCAUUUAUUUAUACAACAAGUUUUUAUUAAUUUCCGACAAUACAAUUCGUGUGAUUCGUGUUUAAACUCCUUUUUUUUUUUUUAACUCUCAUCUUUUCAAAUUUUGUCCCCUUUGACUUUUUUGGGUCAAGUUGGAGGCCAUAUUCUUGACGAUGAAUGAAGGUACUUUUGAUGCUAAUCUAGUGCUUAUCUGCCGACCUUUCAUAUUUAAUAAUUGGUGCAAUUUAGAGGAAUUGUAUCCAAUUAAGCAUUUAAAAAAAAAAAAGAUAUGAAGCUAUGUUGUAAAUACGGUUUUGUAGAAUCUACUGAAAUUCACCAUGUGUUGAUCUACACAUAAUAACACACACUUCCAUAUGUAUGUGUGCUUAGUGGGUUAUUUAUAGUAAAUCCGUGAUUUAAAAACACAUGGUGUAAUUUACCGCGUGUAUGAUCUAUAAAUACAUAAGAAUAUCCAUAUUAUAAGUGUACUUUCCAUUGGGAAAAUUCAAAUUUCUCAGAUUUUUUCGGAAAUUAAAAUAAAAACAAAAUCCAAAAGAUCCACAAAAUAUACAAAAUUUUGAUUUUCGAGAUUUGAGAACGAAAAUUUUGUUCCAAAUUUAUAGAAAAAAUCGAAUCGGCGUAAUUCUAAAACCCACCCUUAAGUUAUACACAUGCUAAUGUGUAAAUAAAUGACAGAUAAUAUACGAAUAGAAAAAUAUUAGACACUCAAACUAGAAGAGAUACAAAUGAAAUUAUAUGAGUGUCAUUUACACAGUAACAAGAAUUAUCUUAUUCAAGUGCUGUUCAUACAACAAAUCUGUAAAAGAAAAAAGAAAAAAAAAGACGAACCUACAACCGCUCGAAAGGGAAAGGACUCAAGAGUGACUCUUCGAGCUCACGGAAACCCCUGUAGACAGCCUCCGUUUGGCUCUGCGUAAGGGGUAGUCUCCUCACCUCAGUCAUAUACCUGAAUAAUUAAAGAUGAAUUAAAAUUAAACUUAUUCCCAGUCCGAUCCACAAAGAAAAUUCAAAAUUUUGCAAAAUCGAAAUGAGAGAUAUAUUAAUAUAUAGAAAUCAGUCAUAUAUUUCAUUCCAUCACUAAUUUUCGGAGGCGGUGGAAUGGCAUUAUUCAUUAAGAGUUUCCUAACUUACUAUCAAUUCAAAUAUGUCCGACUUUAGGAAUAACUUUAUUUCAUUCUUAUUCUCAAAUUGUUUGGGAAAUUUUUGGAACAUAACUUCCGAAAAAAGUUCGUAAUUUUUUUUGAAAAUUCUGAACUUACUAGUGUCAAUAAUCGAAAAAUUAGGAAACGUAACGAACCUAUUUGCUGCACUAGUGAUCUUAUCGCGAACACCUUGAUUUAGAACCGUAGUUUGACCGAGUGAAAACGGUCCACCAAGAAUCAGAGAAGCUCCAGCAGUACUUGUACCCAUUCUCUGUGCAAAUACAGACAUUGCCCACUCACGAAGUACUGCCAACACUGACCGAAGUAUACGUAAUCUCAAACUCGGAGAAGGCAAAAUAGCUCCGUUCGAAACCAACUGAUCGUAAGUAUUCAGCACAGGUUCUAUUGCACCCUUGCAAGAAGCAAGAAGAGCCCUGGGAAUAUCUUCAUCUCCAACGUGCUCAGCACCCGAAACCACUCGCUCCUAUAAAGAUUUAAAAAGCAUAUGAUAGUUAACUAAUUAUAUGUUUUUUUAAGAGGUAGUAAAACGAACCGGCAAACAAUAUAAUAUUAUUUGAUUUUUUUCACCUGUGCAGCUUUCUCGAGAUGAAGACAGAGAGUAUCUAAUGGUAACAUAGCUCCAUCGCCCGGAUAAACAUGGGAACCAACUCUUGCCAACAUAGCACAAGCUUCAGCAAUACCGCCCCUUGAGAGAGCUUGAUCGAUGAGUCUAGCCCAUGUCUCUCUGACAAUGCUGCUGUCAGCAUCACCCGAAUAGCUUGCGAAGUACAGCAUUUCUAGACAUAUCUGAAAAAAAGAAAUCCAUCAUGAAAAAUGAAAGAAAAGAAUUCAUCAUGAAUCGAACCAAGUGUAACAAUGUGUAGUGACGAAGGAAGUGAUUACAGAUAUCCAAGAAUGAAGUACGAAGGUUUCUCUUAGUUAAGCUAGAAAGGCAAUUGCAUACAGACAUACGUGUAUGUUCUCCAAGCUAGAUCACAAAUAAAAUAAUACUUGAGAACUUGCUUUUGUAAAGCAACUUUAGACAAAAUCAGAUAAAUUCCCAAAUGGUCUAAAGAUAAGAUGGGGUUAGAUCACUUUCUGCAUAUGGAUCACAUAAAUUCAUGUCGUAAUUCGUAAAACAAUUAUCACCAAAACAAGAUUACAAACCUCCCAGAGUUCGAAUGGAACAGCAUACUCAUUGUACAACUGAGUGAUGGUCUUCAAAUCCACUGAUAACUCCUUUGCCUUUUCUCGAACCGCGUGAACAAAAUUGGCAUCGCUGGAUUGACCAUUGUCAGGUGAUGAACCAUUUGGGGUAGAGUUCGACCCCAUGGGAGAAGCUUCCGAUCUUGAAGCCAUAGCUUCUAAUUCCUCUUUGAUCUUCAUCUGGAAUUGAAGAACAGUAAGCUUACCUUCAAGCAAAUCAAGAAGCCCAUUGUCAAUAGCACCGCGCAUGGAAACAUUGCCUGUCUCAGUGGCACUCCUCGCCUGCAGAACAGCAUUACUCAGGUAUUGCCGCCUGCAUCACAGCAAUGUAAGGCCACAAACUGUUAGCUCAAAAUAUAAUUAGAGAUAAUACAGGAAGCCGAAGUUCCAUCGACAUCAAAUUACAAAAUUUCAAUACAGGCAAUAUUAUACAUCAAUAGUUUGCAUAAUGAAACUUAGCAAAUCAAAUCAUGCAAGCAACAUAUCACUUGAUAGACAUUCGCUCGAACAAAAAAUAAAUAAAAGAACCUUUGUUCAAUUGUUGGGGUAUCCCCAGCUUCAGUUGAGCGCCUUUCGGCUAGCCUCACUAAUAUUUGAGCGGCAAGAAUGUGCUGACGCUUCAAGACAUAGUAACGCGCCAGAAGCUCGAAAUACUUUAUCUGAUAAGAUGCAACAGGCACUCUAGACUGGCUCAUGGGAGAAAUUGGGGAUCCAAUCGAGGAAAUAGCCCGGACCUACAAGAAGAAAAGGAUACAUCGAAGACAAUGUUUUAGUAUUCAAAACAGACCUCAGGUUGGACUGACAUUCAGCAAAGCAUCAAUUAUACUACAUUCCGGAAGAAAAAAAUCAAUUAUUAAAGGAGUCAAACCUCAUGAGAAGGAUCACGUCCAGCAUCUUGCAAAAAUUGGACCAAAUCUGGACCCCCAUAUUCCAACAACUCAUCAUCAAGACCUAGAUCAAUCAAUGCUCGAUACAGAUACUCAUGGAAAAAUCUAUAUGAAGAUUGAACACCGAGUUGAAUAAUCUGGCAUAUGUGCUUUUUGCGAGAGGAUUGAUCGAGGACUGAUUGGGAAACAGGCCUGAUAGGAGAUCCAAAUU
rnacentral:lncRNA from 1 species